GCAUAUCAAUAAGCGGAGGAAAAGAAACCAACAGGGAUUGCCUCAGUAACGGCGAGUGAAGCGGCAACAGCUCAAAUUUGAAAUCUGGCUCUUUCAGGGUCCGAGUUGUAAUUUGUAGAAGAUGCUUCGGGUGUGGCUCCGGUCUAAKUUCCUUGGAACAGGACGUCAUAGAGGGUGAGAAUCCCGUAUGUGACUGGUUGCCUUCGCCCAUGUGAAGCUCUUUCGACGAGUCGAGUUGUUUGGGAAUGCAGCUCAAAAUGGGUGGUAAAUUUCAUCUAAAGCUAAAUAUUGGCCAGAGACCGAUAGCGCACAAGUAGAGUGAUCGAAAGAUGAAAAGCACUUUGGAAAGAGAGUUAAACAGUACGUGAAAUUGUUGAAAGGGAAGCGCUUGCAACCAGACUUGCGCCUGGUCGAUCAUCUGGGGUUCUCUCCAGUGCACUCGAUCAGGCUCAGGCCAGCAUCGGUUUGGGUGGUGGGAUAAAGGCCUUGGGAAUGUAGCUUCUUUCGGGGAGUGUUAUAGCCCUCGGUGCAAUGCCGCCUACCUGGACCGAGGACCGCGCUUCGGCUAGGAUGCUGGCGUAAUGGUUGUAAGCGACCCGUCUUGAAACACGGACCAAGGAGUCUAACAUUUAUGCGAGUGUUUGGGUGUUAAACCCAUACGCGUAAUGAAAGUGAACGGAGGUGAGAACCCUUAAGGGUGCAUCAUCGACCGAUCCUGAUGUCUUCGGAUGGAUUUGAGUAAGAGCAUAACUGUUGGGACCCGAAAGAUGGUGAACUAUGCCUGAAUAGGGUGAAGCCAGAGGAAACUCUGGUGGAGGCUCGCAGCGGUUCUGACGUGCAAAUCGAUCGUCAAAUUUGGGUAUAGGGGCGAAAGACUAAUCGAACCAUCUAGUAGCUGGUUCCUGCCGA
rnacentral:rRNA from 1 species